AUUUUGGUUCUUCUUUUUAUUUUUUGUGUAUUUAGUUAUUUACAGAGUUUUUUAAUAUUUUUUGGAAAAUUUUCAUAAUUGUAGGUUUUGUUCCUUUUUAUUGUUGUUGGGACAGCUAUAAGCAAAUAACGACGAUAGAGUUAUGUUAAUAGAUUCUGCAAUGAUUGACACACGUACAGUAUACAGAUUUAUGUUUGAUACUUUUUUUAUUAUUAAUCUUUAGCUAAUAAAAUUUUGUAAGUCUUGGUCAGAAAAUUUGUGACUACCUAAAUAUAUAAUUCAUAUUUGCAUAUAUUACCAAGUAUAGUUCAUAUAUACUUAUUUUUCUAAAUUUUUUCUUCUAGAUAUAAGAGAUUUUCAAACAAAUAGUAUAUAAGAAAAUAUCUUACUUCAAAAAAAUUGGAAACUAUUUUUAGAAAAAGUAUAUAUUAAAGAAAUAAAAAGCUGAUAUCUCUUAUUGGGCUUUAGGCCUAAAGAGAUAACUAAACUUGUUAUGUGAGAAAGUUGGGCUUAAUAUGGAUCCAAAUCAGGUCGGCUACACGGAGAUGCUAAUUCAGUUUUUUAAGAAAAUUGUCAUAUGUGAGAAAGUUGGGCUUAAUAUGAGAUGUUAUUUAAGAAAAACCGCCAUCUCAGUUUUUUUUUUUCCUCACAAUUACCAUACGUUUAGGGUUCCGACGUUCCUGUUCACUCUCGAAUCUUCUAUUAGCUUCUUCGUCUUCUUCAUUGAAGAUUUAUCUGUGUAAGCUUUUCAACCUUGUUUGUGUCUAUUUACUGUUCGAUUAAUCUGAUAUUCAUUCCUCCUCACACAUUGAUUCUGAUUCAGGUUGCUCAGGCGUAAUUUUGCGGUGGAUCAUCGGGGCGGUCGAAUUUCAUUGAUUUUCCAUUGAAUCUGCGUCGUUUUCUAUCCAGAUUUCUGUUGUUGGAGCUGAAUUUAAGGAAUGGAGGAAGAUAAGUCUAAGUACAGGGGAGAUGAUAUGGAGGUAGAGGAGGAGGAUGAUGAUUUGAAGAAGAGUCGGCGAGAUCGUGAUCGCAGUAAGGAGCGGAAGAAGGAUAAGGGUUUGGAGAAGCGCCGGGAGAAGGAUAGGCGGAAGAGACGGUCUGAGAGAGUUAAGAGUAGUGAUUCAGAAGAUGAUUACGAUAGAGAUGAUGAUGAAGAGAGGGAGAAGCGUAAAGAGAAGGAAAGAGAGCGGAGACGGAGGGGUAAGGAGAGGGCUAAGCGACGGUCUGAGAGAAGGAAGAGUAGUGAUUCUGAUGUUGACGAUGAAGAAGAUAAUGAGAGGGAUAAACGCAGAUCGAAGGAGAAGGAGAGAGGACACCGAGAACAUGAAAGAGGCAAAGAUCGGAAAAGGGAUAGAGAUAGAGAGAGGGAGGAGAGGAAGGAGAAAGAAAGAGAAAGGGAGAAGAAUAGAGAGAGAAGAGAACGUGAAAGAGAAGAGCGGGAGAAGGAGAGGGUUAAGGAAAGGGAAAGGCGGGAGAGGGAAGAUGGAGAGAGGGAUAGGAGAGAACGUGAGAAAGAAAGGGGUAGUAGGAGGAACCGGGAAAGGGGGAGGUCACGGGAGGUUGGCAAUGAAGAGAGUGAUGAUGAUGUCAAGCCCGACUUGAAACGUAGGAGAAAAGAGAGCAGCGAACGGAAGGAGAAAGAGCGUGAAAAGAGUGUUGGUAGGUCUAGCAGGCAUGCAGAUGGCAAUGGAGAUAGUCCAAAGAGAAAGAGUGUCGAGGAGGAUGGUGAAAAGAAAGAGAAGAAAACCCGAGAAGAAGAACUAGAGGAUGAGCAGAAGAAGUUGGAUGAGGAGGUGGAAAAACGGAGGAGAAGAGUCCAGGAGUGGCAAGAAUUAAAGAGGAAGCAGGAGGAAGCUGAAAAUGAAAUUAAGGGUGAUGGGGAUGGUAAAGAGCCCAAGGCCGGUAAGGCUUGGACUCUUGAUGGAGAAUCUGAUGAUGAAGAAGGCCAUCAGGAAGAAAAAUCAGAAACAGAAAUGGAUGUUGAUGGGGAGAGUAAACCUGAGAGUGGUGGAGAUGCCAAAAUAGUAGACUUGGAGAAUGAGACAGCUACUACUGUCCCUGAGAGUGGAGGUGACGGAGCUGCAGAUGAAGAUGAGAUUGAUCCAUUAGAUGCUUUUAUGAAUACUAUGGUAUUACCUGAGGUUGAGAAGCUUAGCAAUAGUGCUCCUUCUCCAGCAGUGAAUGAUGGUAUUUUGGACUCUAAAAUGAAUGGGAAGGACAGUGGUGACCAGCCGAAGAAAGGUUUUAACAAGGCCCUUGGUAGGAUAAUUCAAGGUGAAGAUUCUGAUUCCGAUUAUUCAGAACCAAAAGAUGAUGAUGAUCCAAGUUUAGAGGAAGACGAUGAGGAGUUCAUGAAAAGAGUAAAAAAGACCAAAGCAGAAAAAUUGUCCCUUGUUGACCACUCAAAGAUAGAGUAUGAACCUUUCCGGAAAAACUUCUAUAUCGAAGUGAAGGAUAUCUCUAGGAUGACACAGGAAGAAGUUAACGCUUACAGAAAGGAAUUGGAGCUGAAAGUUCAUGGAAAAGAUGUUCCAAGGCCCAUAAAGUCUUGGCACCAGACUGGGCUAACCAGCAAAAUUUUGGAUACUAUGAAGAAACUUAAUUAUGAAAAGCCAAUGCCUAUUCAAACACAAGCGCUACCUAUCAUCAUGAGCGGUCGAGACUGCAUUGGGGUUGCAAAAACCGGGUCUGGUAAAACUCUUGGGUUUGUUUUGCCAAUGCUGAGGCAUAUCAAAGAUCAGCCUCCCGUCGAGGCUGGUGAUGGGCCAAUUGGGCUUGUAAUGGCACCUACUAGGGAGCUUGUUCAGCAGAUUCACAGUGAUAUCAGAAAGUUUGCAAAGCCGUUGGGUAUACGAUGUGUCCCUGUGUACGGAGGAUCAGGAGUUGCCCAGCAAAUUAGUGAGCUUAAGCGAGGUACUGAGAUUGUUGUGUGCACUCCUGGUAGAAUGAUUGAUAUCCUUUGCACAAGCAGUGGGAAAAUCACUAACCUGCGAAGGGUCACAUUUUUGGUAAUGGAUGAAGCUGAUCGUAUGUUUGACAUGGGUUUUGAGCCUCAAAUUACUCGUAUUAUUCAGAACAUUCGACCUGAACGUCAAACUGUGCUCUUUUCUGCCACGUUUCCUCGCCAAGUUGAAACUUUGGCACGUAAAGUCUUGAACAAGCCUGUAGAAAUUCAGGUUGGUGGAAGGAGUGUUGUGAAUAAAGAUAUAACUCAGUUAGUUGAAGUCAGACCGGAGAGUGAUAGGUUCUUUAGACUUCUGGAACUUCUUGGGGAAUGGUAUGAGAAAGGAAAAAUUCUGAUCUUCGUUCAAUCGCAGGAAAAAUGUGAUGCCUUGUUUAGGGAUAUGAUUAAACAUGGUUACCCUUGUCUAUCUCUUCACGGGGGUAAGGAUCAGACUGAUCGUGAAUCAACUAUAUCUGAUUUUAAGACCAAUGUCUGUAAUCUGUUGAUUGCCACAAGUGUUGCGGCUAGGGGUCUAGAUGUGAAAGAGCUUGAGUUAGUUGUAAACUUCGAUGCACCGAACCACUAUGAAGACUAUGUACAUCGCGUUGGCAGGACAGGCAGGGCAGGGCGGAAAGGCUGUGCUGUGACAUUUAUUUCUGAGGAUGAUGCUAAAUAUGCACCAGAUUUGGUCAAGGCCCUGGAACUUUCUGAGCAGCCAGUGCCUGAUGAUCUCAAAGCAGUUGCUGAUGGUUUCAUGGCAAAAGUGAAACAGGGUAUUGAGCAAGCUCAUGGAACUGGUUAUGGUGGUAGUGGCUUUAAAUUCAACGAAGAGGAGGAAGAGGUUAGGAAAGCAGCAAAGAAAGCACAAGCGAAGGAGUAUGGCUUUGAGGAAGAUAAGUCUGACUCAGAAGAUGAGAAUGAUGUUGUAAGAAAGGCAGGUGGUGGUGAGAUCUCACAGCAGCAGGCUACUUUUGCUCAGAUAGCCGCCAUUGCUGCUGCUGCCAAAGCUGCUAUUCCCGUGAGUGCUCCUGUGACUGCUAACCAGUUGCUGCCAAAUGGUAGCGGGAUUCACGCCGUGCCAGGUGUCCUUCCAGUUACUGUUCCUGGCAAUCCUAGUGAAGGGGCAGGCCGUGCUGCAGCCAUGGUUGCUGCCAUGAAUUUGCAACAUAACCUGGCAAAGAUUCAAGCUGACGCUAUGCCUGAACACUAUGAAGCAGAACUUGAAAUCAAUGAUUUCCCACAAAAUGCUCGCUGGAAGGUCACCCACAAAGAAACUUUGGGUCCAAUAUCAGAGUGGACUGGAGCCGCCAUUACCACUAGGGGUCAGUUUUAUCCUACAGGACGAAUCCCUGGACCUGGGGAACGCAAACUCUACUUGUUCAUUGAAGGGCCUUCUGAGAAAUCAGUUAAGACAGCAAAAGUUGAACUCAAGCGUGUUCUUGAAGACAUUACAAAUCAGGCCAUGUCACUUCCUGGAGGAGCAACAGCUGGCAGAUACUCGGUGAUAUAAUGUAAGUCGAGAUUUCUAAUCUAAUUUACAAUCAUAUAGGUUAAAUGCUAUGCUUAAGCCUUGCUUGCUGACUUUUUUAAUUUCUUACAUAUUUCUUAUUAAUCUCGAGUUCAGACUUAUGGAUCUUAGUUUCUCUCUUUUAACAGGAAAGCAACCAUGAGGUGUGUGAUUAUAAUGGAUUCAAAUCACUUGAGAGUUUUAUUAAACCAAGUAUUAUUGGUUGAUGUUUCAAUCUCUGCACGUUUGCUAAAUUUUUUCUUACAGACUUGAACUUGGUGUGACAUUCCUUACUUCUUUAUGGUGGUCAAGUAUUAGUAGAAUGAUGGGUGUCGAAUAAUGAGUGCUUAUUGUUUCUCAUCCUACAACUCUUUUCCUCUUUUAAUUUUAUUCUCUUUUUCUUUGUCAUGUUUAUACAAUGUCCCGAUGGGUUUGCUAAUGCGCAUUACCGCGUGGUGGCUGUAAAAGGAUCGGUAAAAUCUAGUAUGAUGCAGUUAUUGUGUUUGGAUUUAAUCAUGAAUCGAACAGCACUAGACUUGUUUCUUGCAUCAAUCUCCCCUUUUACAGCGUUUGGCAUCUUUUCUGCAGGGGAAAUCUGUCAAACAUGAAGCUCAUAGGAGAGAUGAUAUUGAAAUUUUCUGAUAGACAAGGUGACAGCGAUUUUACCUCCCCAAUGGGUAAGACUUGAAGCUUAUUCAGUUUUGGUGUCUGGAUGCUUUCUCUGUGAAAAUCCGUCUAUAUCUGCUUUAACCACUAGUCUUAGAGAGAAACUUUCAUCUGCUGGGAUUGUCUCAAUCGAGAUCAUGGACUUGCAACUGAGAUAAACGCUAAAGGAAGCUUUCUGAGUAACGGUCAAAGGUGAUGUUGCAUCCAGUAUGUAGUAAACAUCGGAUUUUAUGAUCAAAAUAGUACUCCUGGAUGCGUUUGUUUUGUUUUGUGGAUCAAAAUUAUAAAACUAAUGGGUUUGAAACAGUGACAUAGGUGACACAGAUUGUAUAUUAUAAACGGCAAUUUGCGUGAUGAUCUACACAGGAAAGGUUGUGGGAGACCAAACUUAUUUUGUGACCGCACCUUUAUCAAACAAUGGAAAUAUAGAAGGGGUGAAACUAUUGUACUUUUCAUGGCAUCAUGCCAUCAUCAACUCCUAUUGGUGGGAAAUAGAGAAAUAAAGCGUAGGUGUAAUAAGCACUGCGUAACUCUAGCAGAUUUUUUUGUAACAAUCACCAAAACUGGAUUUCACAAAUUAUAUAAUAAGAGACCAUUUUAUAACACCGUCGAAGGUUGCAAAAUGAAACAAAAAGACACUUGUGUAUUUCGAUUUUUCUUUUUGCUUAUAAGGAAAAAAAUGAUAUCAUCAGAAAGGGGUCGUCAGAUAAUAUAUUACAAACCAAUUGCUAAGUCAUCAUUUUAACUGUAUGUCUUCUUCAACAUACUCCAAAAGUGUAUACUAUAUCAUAAAAUAACAUGGUGUAAUUAAACGGUCCAAAGUGAAUAAUACAUAAAUUUUUUCGGUAAUUAACUAACUAGUACUAAAACUAACCAGAGAGGCCAUGCAGAGCCACUAGCACUCCCAAGUUUCUCAUCUUCUUUGAAAUCUUUUGGCUGUUACGUUUGAUACUCUGUUUCUUAAGAAGAACACAGAUCGAUCUCUUCUAUUCCUCUCGAUCCUCCCUUGGUUUCAAUUCCGUAAGUCAUCAUCACGAUUCACGACACGAUCUCUCUCUCUCUAAUUGAAAACACGAUUCGUAAUUUGCUUUUUCUUUAGUUUGCUCGAUUUAAGUGCAGAAAUGGUGAUUCUGUAGAAGCAUUUUUGGUUUUGGUAUUUGGUAUCAGAUCACAAGCGACGAUGACGAUGAGGCUUUUGGAUUUGUUCAUAACCUCGUCGAUACCAGUUGCCAAGAUUCUGAUGAUUACAGGAAUUGGAUUUUACUUGGCUAUGGAUCGUGUUAACAUUCUCAAUCAAGAUGCUAGAAAGCAACUCAACAACGUGCGUCAGUUUUUUUUUUUAAAACGAAUUUGAUAUAUUUAAUUUCUCUGAGUUGUUCUGAGUUUCUUGUUUUGGUUUUCACGUUUCUUGCAGAUAGUUUUCUAUGUGUUUAGUCCUUCACUUGUUGCAAGCAGUUUAGCUGCGACUAUUACAUACGAAAGCAUGGUGAAAAUGUAUGUCUUCUUGAUUCAGAGAACUGAUUCUGCUCACGUACAAUGAAAAUUUAUUUUGAUGGAGCAUGCAAUGCACUUUAAUUCAGGUGGUUCAUGCCAAUCAAUGUGUUGUUAACAUUCAUCAUUGGUUCGUUUCUUGGUUGGGUUGUUAUCAAAAUCACUAAACCUCCUCCGCAUCUCCGUGGCAUCAUUGUUGGUUGCUGUGCUGCUGGUAACUUUAACAUCAUCCUACAAAUCUUGUUUGUUGUUUCAUUCAUGAAGUUUUAUUAGGAAUCCUAAUCAGUGAUGCAUGAAAUUGUAUAAUCCUACAGGGAAUUUGGGAAACAUGCCACUCAUCAUCAUCCCAGCUAUAUGUAAUGAAAAGGGAAGUCCUUUUGGAGAUUCUGAGAGUUGUCAGAAAUUUGGACUUGGUUAUGUUGCACUCUCAAUGGCGGUAUGUCUCCAUUUCUUUAACUACUUCUUUUGCUUCUCUGCUGUACUGGAUGCUCUAAAUGAAUAUACAAGUCAAAACGUUUUGUGAUGUAUAUCAGAUUGGAGCCAUUUACAUAUGGACUUAUGUAUACAACCUUAUGCGGAUGCUAGCACAUCCUGCUGGAGAAAUCGCAGUAAACAGUACCUCUUCUACAAUGCCACUGAUUGCUCCCAAAGUUGAAGUUGGGGAACAGGUCUUUUUCCUUUUAUAAAUCUUGUGAGCAUUAUUUGCUUCAGCUUACUGAUUUUGGAGAGCAUGCAUAUGUGGCAAGGUUGGGACAUGGAGCAAGGUCAAGCAAAGAGUGUGUUCUGCAGCAGAGAAAAUCAAUCUACGAACAAUAUUUGCUCCUUCAACUAUUGCAGCGGUUUGUUUCAGUUGUCCAUUCAACCAAAAGAGUGCUAUCUUCUGUAUGUAUGUACUAAUUAAGUAACUAAUCCACCUUCUCUUCAGCUUAUCGCACUUGCGGUUGGGUUAAAUCCUAUACUAAGGAAGCUACUAGUGGGCAACACAGCUCCACUCCGCGUGAUUGAGGACUCAGUAUCUUUAUUGGGGUAUUCAACAACAUAUUAAAAUCUCGUUCGUCUGUGAUAAUCAAUGCUUACUUACUUGAGUAGCUUAAUUUCUUGAAGGGAUGGGACAAUUCCUGUUCUGACUCUGGUUGUAGGAGGAAACCUUCUCAAAGGUAAAUAAACAAGAAAACUUUUUGAAUUCAAAAGACAAAACCUUAAAUAAUUGCUCUCUUUCAAUAAUCACAGGUCUGAGAGGUUCAGGAAUGCACAAGUCAGUCAUAGUAGGUGUGGUGGUUGUGCGUUACGUUUUACUGCCAAUAUCAGGUGUUUUAAUAGUACAAGGAGCCCAUCACUUUGGUUUGGUUACAUCUGAACCGCUCUACAAGUUUAUUCUUCUGCUUCAGUAUGUCGUUCCACCGGCAAUGAAUCUUGGUUUGUUCUUCAGGCUGAAAAGUUACUUCCGAAGACGCAUACUGUCUUUCUCAUAGUCUCACUCUUGACCUUUUGGCAGGUACAAUCACUCAACUAUUUGGGUCAGGAGAAAGCGAAUGCUCUGUGAUUCUAUUCUGGUCUUAUGCUUUGGCUUCGGUUUCUCUCACUGUCUGGCCAACAUUCUUUAUGUGGCUUGUAGCCUGAACCACACACACACAUACACACUACAGACACACUAGGGCAACAUUUGCAAAACUCGCUAAUUCGAAACAUUAGAGAAAUUGAUAUAUUCUUUCAUUGUUAAAGAGGUUGGAGGGUUAUACAAUUGGGAAUAGAGACCCAAUCAAAAUGGAAUAUUAAAACUUCAAUCAUCCUAAGAUAGCAGAAAAAUGCUUGAGACAAGCAAAGACCAAGAUGGAACAAAAUAUCCUACUGAGAGAGUUCAUAAAGAGAGCCUCAAAGAGAGGAUUUGUCAGGUAGAUCGUCAAAGUAAGGAUGCUCCAUAGCCUUCUUCGCUGAGAUUCGUUUCGCUGGCUCAUACUCCAACAUUUUCUGUGCCCAAAGAAAAACGCAUAUUACUAUUAGCUAUGGGCCUGGGUAAUUAGGCAAGGUCUGAGUGGUGUGUUAGACAUUGGGGACUUACAGAUAAGAGAUCAAGUCCGGCCUCAUCGAGGUUUGGGACAGCUGUGGAGAGACUCAACGGUUUCCAUUGUGGGUAUUCAUGCCAAUCCUUGAGUGUGCUCACUCCAGGCCACACUUCUUCGUUUGGUGUUCCCAGCAACCUGAAUUUCCACAGAAAAAGCAAGUGAGUAUGCGAAUGUCAUGUAUGUGUGCUAUAGAAAGGUAAAGAGGAGCACAAAGACUUGCCUGAAAAUACGGAGGAGCUGUUGGAGCUCAGAGUCUCCAGCAAAGAUUGCUUGCUUGGUCACUAGUUCAGCUACAAAUAACAAAGAAACAGAACUCUUAGUUAUCGCAGUAUUGACAUUGAAGAGAAACCAAUGAAACUAAAAGAGAAGAAUUUGUACCAAAGAUGCAGCCAACAGACCACAUAUCUACUGCAGUUGAGUAAUGGGUUGCUCCAAGAAGGACUUCUGGAGCUCUGUACCAAAGAGUUAGAAUCUGUUGCAAUGGAAAUCAAGGGAAAACGACAUCAUUAGUUAAAACUCCAGAGUUCAGAAAAACAAAGAUCAGAUCUUAAAACACUAACAUGAAGUAAGACUAAUGAUUUAUAGACAUAGAUUUUCAUACCUCAUGUGUAUACUUUUUCAUUGGGAGAGUGAAGGCUCUGGCUAAUCCAAGAUCUGCUAUUUUGAGGGUCAUUGUCUUCCGGUCCAUCAAGAGAUUGUGAGGCUUAAGAUCCCUAUAAUGAAACAAAGAGAAGUAGGAUCAGUAAUCAGUCUCAAAAUAAGUUUCGCUCAAAGGCAUUGUUCUCUCAAAACAAAGACGAUAUUUGACCUGUGCAACACUCCAUGGCCAUGACAAAAAGCCAUGCCUUUGCAUAACUGGUACAUCAAGCACUGCAAUUGAAGACCAUGUUUCUUUUAGCUUAUCGCGUGAGAGUGUUAAAAGAAAAAAAAACACAGAACAAAAAGCUAAAAAAAAAAAUGAAAACCUUGACAGUAUCCUGCGGAAUGUUCUGUCCAGCUUGACGAAAGCUUCUGAUAAAUUUCUUGAGAUCAGUGUCAACAUACUCAAAAACCAAGUAGAGUACAGUUUUUCCUUCUUUGUUUAUCCCUUGCUUAACAUCCAUCAACCUGGAGAAGAAGAAUGAUUAAUUAUCUCUGAGAAGAAAAUGCAAUCACCCAAAGCACACUAAGAUCUAAACACAAAGGUUCCAUUUUGAAAUUUUAUCGUAUUUGGAUAAGAUAAGAUUUCGUAUACAGGAACAACACGAUUAGUCUCAACCGAAGAACCCAUUUGAUCUAAAUCGCAGCACACAAUCAGAUAGUGAAACCAAUAUCUACCACUACCACAUCAGAGUGACAUAAAAAUCGAGAAUCGUAGAGAGAUAAAUUGAUGGGGGAAUAAACCCUAGAAAUCGAAAUUUGAGUCCUAAAACCACAAGGCAGAGAUUACGGACUAAUCGAUAGGAAGAGAAGCGAAUCAGGAAUCGAACCUAACGAUGUGGGGAUCACGAGCGAGCAUACGCAAGAUAGAGAUCUCGCGAAGAGUAGUGGGAGGAACGCCUUCUUCAUCCUCAUGGAGACGGGUCUUCUUCAAAGCAACGAUCAUCCCAGUAGCUUUCUCUCUCGCUCUGUAAACUUUGCCGUAAGUACCUUCGCCUACUUUCUCAAGCUUCUCGAAAGCUUCCAUGGCUGAAACAGAAGGUUUAACUCCAUUGUUGUCCAUCUCCUAUUUCUCUCUAAAUCAAAUGAAUAUAAAUCUCAGGUUUUUUGUUUUUUUAUGUUUUGGGGGAAGGAAGAAGAAGAGAGAAGAAGAUAGAAAUGGACAAAGGUAGAAGAGAGAAUGGUUUAAAUAGGAAGCAGAUAUUUGUUUAUUAGAAAUAUAUUAAUUAUUAUUAUUCCCUCUUUGAGAAUUCAUUUCAAAAUUCAAAACCGGAGCGUCAGGCACUAUUUGCCUUCUUUUUUAUUUAUUUCUUUCUAAUACUCUCUCCUCUUCCGCUAAAAGUGUUAUUUUACUUUGUUAUUUUAUUGAAAGUGUCAUUCUAAAUUCUUAAUGCAAAUUUUACACUACAUUUCCAAAUUUUACUAUUUAAUUUAUAAGUAACUAAACCAUUACCAACAAGAAAUGUAUAUGUAUAUUUGAAUUUUUUCUUAAUUUAUGUGAAAUAUGUCAAAAUGACAUUUUUUAUAUAAUAGAAAGAGUACUAUUUUAAACCAUAUGACGUGGAAAUACCGAUACAGUCAUGCUAUUUAUGUGUUUUUCUUAAUUAAAAUCAUUUUUGUUGUUUUUAAUUAAUUAUAAAUUAUGAUUUUACAUUCGUAAUAUAAUAAUUAUGAAAUUUUCAUAACUCAAAAUUAUGUUUCUGCCAUUUAAUCCAAAACCUUUUCUAAAAUAUCAAUUUAUCUAUUUGUGGCAGUGUCUAUUAGAACUGCGUUGAUAGACACUCUGUCUUUGAGCUUUUCCUUCAUCAUAACCGCGAAAUUAGCUAUUGUUAUUGCUCCCUGUAAAAUCAAAAAUGUAUGUUACGUUUUGACAUGUAUUUAAACAGUUAUAGUUAUAUAUAAGAGGUAUGUGGUCAGAUAAAAUAAACUUCACAAAACGGAUAACAGACGUUUUGACAUGUAUUUAAAGCUAUAGUUAUAUAUAAGAGGUAUGUUUUCCAACUAUCUUAGCUAUAAGUUUUGAUCCCGAGUGAUUAAAGAUUUAAAACCUUUUUGUUAAGGGAUUUACGACGAAGAGGCAUUAGAUUAAAUAUUGGUAUAUAUGUAGGUUUUCAAUAAUGCAAAAUAAUAUAAUAUAUUAGUUAUCAAUUUCGAAAAAUGUUUAAAACUUUUAAAUCUUUUGAUGUCAAAACAUUUCUUAAUAAUGUCUAAAAUAGUUAACUAAUAUUAUAUAUAUAUAUAUAUAUAUUAUUAUAUUUUUGUAUAUUGACACACAAAUAAACAAUAUGUAGUUUUUAACUAUUGUAUAAAAAUAUAUUUAUAUUUGUACAUUAAACAAAAUGUAUGGUUCAUAUUAUAUAAUAUUGUUUUAGUGGCAUGUUCAUAAAUAAUAUAUUUUGAUGAGGGUUUAAAAGUUGUUGAAAUAGUAUCAAAUAGUGAAAAUGAAUAUCAAGAAAUUGUAUAUAUGAUGUGGUGUCAAAAUUAAAUUAUAAGAUCAAAAAAUUGUAUAUAUUAAGGUUGAAAAUAUGUUUAAAUAAUGUUUUCACUUUAUAUUUCCUUCUAGGUAGGUCUCAAAUGGAAAUAUAAUAAGAAUAUAAGAAUAAAUAUUGUCAUUUGUUUUUUCAGUUGUAUAACUACUUUUACAGUUUUACUUAACAACUAUAUACUUUAACUUAACAACUAGGUGGAAUAGUGGUUCUGUGACUGAUCUGAAACCUAGGUGGAAUAGUGCCUCUGUGACUAAUCUGAAACCUUCUGUCUUUUAUAAAUCUCUUUCCAAACUCAACAACUUUUAAAAAAAAAUAACAACAACAAAAGUUACAUCUCAGACGAAAGAAAACAACAGAUACGACGUGUGGAAUGAUUAUAAAAGAGCUUAUAUGCAAAAGCUCAUGAGAGAAAUUAUUACAAGAGUUUUCUUGACUCUUACGUUUGAGUUAAACUAUUGACCACCAGUGGAAGAAAUAGUAGUAAGAACAUCAGUCACCGAAGCCAUCACACUCAGAGCUGCCUUCAAUACGUCUUGAGAACAUCCUGGUUUCACUAUCUUUCUCACCUGACCGACCCCCAAAAAUAUGUUAGGAUUAUGACUAUAUAUAUACAAUUCUAUUACUUUUCAAAGAUGACACACAGAGAAAUAAGUCUUUAUUUUUUACCUGGUCUAGAUAUUCCUGCAGCUUCUUUAUACGGCCCAUGUAAUCUUGAUCUUCAACACAGAGGCUCACUGCUUUAGCAUCCGCACCCGGACCAUCGUACUGAAGCGGUCCCGGGUUUCUGUACAGAUCCUCCAUCAAGAACUUUUGUGCAUUCUGUCUCAAGAGGCUGCAAAAGAAUCAUUCACAUUAAAAACUAUUGAGAAACUUAAAGGCAACUUUGUGAAUUAGUGUGUUCAUGUUCUUUGCUAUAGCUAGCUUACUCGUAUGCUUUGCCUUUCAAAUCCACCAUAGCUGGAUGAAUUGCAGGUCUACCAAUUGAAGUUAAAGUAGAACUAGCAUUUUGGGACCAAUGCUUCACCGUCAUCAUCGCCUAAAGGUUGUACCGGAGAUGAGGGAAUUAGUAUAGAAAGAAACUGUAGUAACUGCCAUCUUUUAAAUAGAAAAGAACACAAAACUCAACUGUAAUAGGUGCAGCACCACAUUUCCACUUGUUUACUGGACUUUUCAGAUUGGUUACAGUUGCCAUGUAACCAUUCAGACCAGCUGCAAGGAUGUGGUAACAUAUAUGUCCAAGAACCUGCAUGAUUUUCCCAUUCAAUAGUGUGAAUGAAUAUUCAUCCUAAUUAUUAAGCAGCAUUGAUAUUGUGUUGCAGAGUGUUAGUGACUUACAUAGGCAUAAUCACAAUCAAAUUUCGAUGGAAGAGAUCCACGAGCUUGGUAACCAAAAAAGUGACAUAUGGCAUUGAAUUUCUUCCCCUUGUAUGUGCCUUCUUUCUGUCAAGUUCACAGAUUCUCAAUUACAUAUGCAAGAAGUAAUGUUUUUGAUGCCAAUGAUGAAUCCAAUUAUUUAGAUAAGAAUACUGGGAACAAAUAGAAAUCAGUGACAAACAUGGAGCAUACCAAGCGCUUGUUCAUUUCAGUCUCCACGAGAUACGCAAGUAGUUUCUCUGUCUCAAUCUGGAGUAGAAAGCAAAAAGAGCAUUUAGGAUUCCAACCCUUUUUUAAGACAUAUUAGCUCCAACAUUUUUCUUCUUCUUAUUCUUACCUGGGAUAGCUGAGCAGAAUCAUCAGACUCAGGACGUAGAAGUAGCUGCAGCAACAAAGAUUGACUAUCUUGUCAGCAUUCACGCUCAUUUGCUUUGGAGAAAAACAAAAAGAAACCUCGAGUCAAAGAAUUCAAACCUGUUUCUUAAUAAAUGGAGGAAGAAAUUCGAAUAAAGCAGAUGACCAAGGUGAAAGCUGAGUAGAAAUCUUAUCAGCAGGUACACCCUGCCUAAGGAGCCCGUGAAUUUCCUACAUCACCAAAUGUCAAACUUAGACAAGGUAUAUACUACAAAAGUACAUCUUGGUGUUAGAUAAAGAAGAAAAAUAGCUUCAAAUGAUAAAUACAGAUGUCUAAAACUAUCAACUUAUUACCUUUAACAGAGCGUAGACUUCAGGGAUACUCUCUAUGAUUCCUUCCGGAAUGAGGAUGACUCCAUGGUUCUUGUCUGGUUCAAACAAAUUUAUAUGGCACUAGAGUUAGUGAGCAUUUGGAUACAUGACACCAUCAUAUUUAGAUAGUUUUGACUUUUUGUUUUAAGACCUUCUCCUGCUCUUGCUUGAACAGCAUCACAGAUCUGUUUUGCUAUGUCAAAAAUUGUGAGCUUCGAUGCUGCAACCUCCUCGCCCAGAAUCACCUGAGACAAUCGCAUAACACACAAUUGAAACUCUGGAAGACAAAAGCAUACCUACAGAAUUCAACUGUUUAUGUUUAGAAACAGAAAAAAAUACAAACCAUGUUUGGGUGAGACUGUAGUGUACACUCAAGGGCAACAUGAGAGUGCUUCCUACCCAUGAGACGGAUAAAAUAAUAAUACUGCCAAGAUACAAAGUGAAUUUGAUAUCAGAAUCAUAAAUUAUACAACUUUGGAUUGCUCACUUUGUAAAAGAUUACAUCCUUAAUGGAAAUACUUUUCUUAUCAGAAUAUGAAGAUGAUAAAGUGCAGUUAGGCUACAUAAUCCCAUGGUUAUGAAUGACCUAGCAAUCUCUUAGUUCAGCAAAAAAAUAGCAUUUACCUUCUCUGCAGAGAGAGCAUCAGUGCAGGCAUUGCUAAUGAGCUGUGAAUUCACCUGUAUGACGCAAAAUUUCAUUAGCCAACAAUAACAUACAGUUUAUGUAAAGACUUACGAGGACAACCACAACGUGUUGGUUGAAAUAGUUACAAAAAUAACCAGAAAGUUAAAGUUUACAUUUACCUUGCAUAUGGUGUCAAAACCUACGUUUGUCUCCACAAACUGAUUCUUGAGAUCUCCGUUUGUGGUAACCGGAACACCAACAACCUGAAAUUUUAUAAGUAACUUGUAGUAUCAAAUUGGUUUUUCCAUUGGCACAUGCAGUUGAAUUACCAGAGCAUUUAUAAAGGAAUUCAAAAGACCAAUAUCAAAAUAGAAAAUUGGGACCUUAGUUGGACAUUUUGCUUCAACAAAAAAUUCAGCAAGAUGAGCUGCAUCUGUGUUUGAUGUUACACCUUUAAAAGACCAUAUAAAUUCAUGAUUUAGAAAAAAAAUUACGACAAUAAUUUCAAUGAAUAGAAAUAUAAAAGGCUAGGUACCUCCAAUGAUAACAAGGCCAUCUAACUUCAAAUCUGUGCAAGCUUUGAGUGCAGCGUUAACCUGCUCAGUUGUUUUGAUCUGAUCCUUGGUUCUUCCGAGCAAAUCAUAACCACCUGACAACAUACAUUUCAAGACCAAUAUAUCAGAAAUUUGAAGUAAUAUCACGGCAAUGCCUUCUCAUCAAACAACCUACCUUGGUUUUUGUAAGUCUGGAGUAUAUCAUCUGUGAUCUCCAGAGUCUUUUGUGCAAAUAGACCUUCGGAGCCACCUAUUAUUAUCAGGUAACAACAAAUUUUACUUAAAUCUAUUGUGACGAGAAGAAAUAGUUGAUGAAUGGUAAUACAAAAGGUAGAAAUCUCUAAUAGCAAAAGAUGCAAUGCCACAGAUAACAAAAAUUAUACCCAAAAAACCAAGCAAAGUGCUUUUAGAGUUGUGCACUUUGAGAGCCUCGAAAAGACCCCAGAUCACAUUGUGUCCACCAGGGGCUUGCCUUCCACAAAACACAAUUCCAACUCUACAGUAGAAAAGAUCUAAGAUUAAAAUGAAACUCCCUUCAAAGGUGAAUCAAAAAUAUAAAGCAAAUCCAGAAACAUAUGACACAGGGAGCAAAGGGAUUCACACACCUAACAGAUGGAAGCUCGGUAAUGAUGUGAGCAUCAGUAACUUGAGCAGUUUCCCUGAGGAAGUGAGCCAAAGGCUGGCCUAAGGUAUGGGGGAAAGCGCGAACCAUGGUGUGGGAAUCAGCAGCCUCUGCGACAGUGGUCCCAUCGCCAAGCUCCACGCGGACAGUAGUCCCCUGAAACGAAAUAUCAAACAUAAAGUAGAAUAAGAAAAUAAAAAACGAGAGAUAGAGAAGUGAAGUCAUUAUUAAGACUGUAAAAUCCAAGCAAACGAAACACAGGGAUCCGAAUAAAACAGAUCGAAGAUCAUUACAAACUAGAAAUCAGAUCUGAUUAAGCAGCACCAACACUGUAAGUUGCUCGAGCUAAGAUAAAGAAACAAACAUGAAAAACAUUUUGGUGGGAUAGUUGCAAAACUGCAGGUAGUAAUAAGACAAGUAAUGAAAAGAAGUAAAGGAAGUCAUUCAAAUAGAUCCAAUGAGUGGAACAAGUUAGAAACAAUGGGAACGAAGGCAGUAAUAGAUCUAUGGAGGAGGAGUAGAAGAAGAAGAAGGGACCUGGAGACAAGGAGGAAGCUCGGGUUUGUACUGAGAUCGGAGUUGCUGAAGAGGGGAGAGUUCUCUGGGGAUUCCAAAAUCUGAAUCCAUGGCGUUAGGUUUUAUGUGGAAACAAGUGUUUGGUGUGUGAGAGAGAGAGAGUGGCUUUGUUUUCUUCCCUUUUAGCUUCAAAAUAUAUAGUGAGGAAGACUGAGGAGGAGGAAUAUACCACCAACCAAACACAUCCGUUUCCUUUCUUCGUCUUUUUCAGAUUUCGGACCAAAUCUAUCCUUCUCUCUCUUCUGACCCCCUCCACUAUUUACGAUAGCGCCAUUGGAUCUCUCCUGACCUUAAAAUUACCAACACACCCCCGCUCUUUCCCGCUAUUUUGAAAGUUAGUUUAAUAUCUCUUUAUGUUAUAUCUUUGGUCGUGAUCGGUAAACUACCAAAAUAGAAAUAACGUGAUUUUUGUGUGUUUUCAAUUCAUUUCGACUUUUUACUUUCUUAUUUAUUUAUUCUUCUUUUAUGUGCAAAUAUAGUCAAUUAUAGUCCAUUUUAGUUUUAAAACUCGAGUAACCAAGUAAAGAGUAGUAAUUUUACAAGUCUCAACACUCAAAUUUUGCAAAUUAACACUGGUGUGGUGCAUUUCUCUCAAGUCUCAAUCAAUCUCAGUUAUCAAAGUCAUUUACUCGAAAUCAGUUUUCACAUAGGCUCUCCUCUGCUUCAAACAAAACCAGGAAACAAGCCAUACAUAGGUCUAAAAACUCGAUGCAUGGGCAUAAAACGAGUAAAUGUAAUCGUAGUAGUAUUCCCUAGACAGGUCAGACAGAGAGAUAGUAAAAGACCAGAACAACGAUUACACCUUAAUAUAAUAAUAUCUUUUUCCACAAAGUUGAGUUUGCAGAGACUCGAAUGGUACCCGGAGGCUAUUUGGAAGACAACUUUACCUCUCUCCAGAAUCACAGCAUAUGCCUGCAAAUAACAUAAAAAAUUAUUGUGUCAUUUUCUUGGAUUUCUUCAUACAAAAUCUAUAAUCAACUAUUUUCAAGGAAAACCAUGUGAGAGAUUUAUGAGACAUGAUUUAGAAACCAGUUUUCAUAGUAGUGAUGUGAUGCACAGAUAUCAAAUCACCAUCCAAUUUUACUACUUGACUAAUUAUUUUACAAUAAUAUGUCAUCAUAUACCAUGCACAAUACGCAGUCUUACUUGCACAAACAUUCCUGUAUUCCAAUACUCAGAUACGAAAAUCAAUGGUAAAGAUCAGACCUAAUGCAUAGCGGAUGGACAAAUUUCUUACACCUAAAGUUUCCAUGAAGGAUGAUGCGAGACGGUCAAUGCACAAAGCAGAAUCUACUAAAGCCAAACUCGCAUACAAAAAAUAAAAUACCACCAGACCUAAUUCCAAAAAUUAUGACCAGAACACUGCGAAACUAACCUGAAUAACAAAUCAUUCUUCCAUGUGAUCUCCAGCGCCAGAUCCUUUGACAUCAACAGAGAAAGAGUACUCUUGGUCACAGCCCAAGUAAGAGUCGCACAUGAAGUAUAGUGUGUAUGACUUCUCUCCUGAUUCAGUCGGUACUGUGAAAUCCAGCUUCACCUUCGCUUUCCGUUGCAAUGAAACACGCUUGAUUGCCAGCAACUGAUUCGUCUUGGUGUCGCCCACAACCAGCCACCAUCCUUCUUCUUUGGUCUUGGGAUACCUGAGUGAAUCCACAGGUCCCACUUCUGUCCUUCCGUCCAUGUCUCUCUCAAGCAUCACUUGCAACGUAACCUCUUUACCUGGGGUCACCUCUUCACUGUCCACAACCUCGUAAGUAAGGUCGAUGUUUGGGAAGCGGUUGCAGAAUCUGGCAAUGUCUAGAAGUUGCACGUCCUCCAUCUUAAGAAGCUCAUAGCGUUCUUCGUCCUCCAUCUCCACAAGAUCAAAUAUCGUUUCAAUGUUUUUCCCCGGGUUCUCCUGGCACCUCUUGGCCAAGUCCUUUGUGAAGUGAGGGAGCUGCAGAAGCAUGGAGUCCCGCUCCCACAUGCCUUGAGUCACCAUCUGGCUCACUUCCAUAGCUAACAGAGCAAGAUUCAGCCAGCCAUUGCUUGAUAUCACAUCGACCAUCGCUUGAAGAAGUCUAGUUGCAGAUAGAAGGACAUCACGCUGAUCCAUUGCCAAGUUUCCGCCAAUGUUUUGCCUUGAGAAAUGCGCCUGGAGAAGUGCGUUUGCCUUCACAUGAGGGUCUGUGCAUUUUGGGUUUUCAAAAGAGAACCUCUGGUGAUUGAUUAGUCUCCGAACAGUGUCCUCUUCGCCAGGCCGUAUAGGGAUCAUGUCAUACUCUGAAGCAGAAGUUAGGAUCUCAAGAAGACCCUUCAUCUUGGUUUUAGAAGACAACAGAGAACUGAAGCGCUCAAUAGUGGUAUAACUGAUGUAAUAAUAGGAUGCAAUCAUACCAAGAUUAAGAGGAGAGAGUUCCAUUUCAUCCUCUAUCUCAAUGCAUUUACUGGCUUCAAGAUCAGACAAGGUGUUCUCAACCAGCUCUGAUAGGUGAUCAGAUAAAUGCCUGUGGCUAACACCUUGGAGAUUGUAGUAGUUAGGGUUCUGGGGAAGCCUCCUGUACAUGAAAGUCCAUGUAAGAUAAUCCACGGCAUCUUGCUUGUUCUCUAUAACCCCAGCAACCACUUCUGCGUUGAAAUUAUCAUGCAAGAAAUGCUGGAGAUUACUUUCCACAGGGAAGGCUUCGUACAGAAACUUCUUGUAAUACUCUUUCUGAGGUGCGUGACAAAAGAUCACACAUUUCCCGGCAUUGUCAAGAAGUGGUCGGCUAGCACGCCCCAUCAUCUGAAGCAGAUCAUGGACGGGAUAAUCAGAAUGUGAAUUUUCUCUCCCAUCGUAAUACUGUGUCCCCAUUACAACCACCAAAUGCGCAGUUAAUGGAGUUCCCCAACACAAUGAACUGCUCAUCACACAAGCCUGAAUCCGUCCAGCUUCAAAGAGCUGUGUCACAAUCUCCUGAUCCAGAUUGCUUAAACCCUCAUGCAAGUACCCAAUACCAUGGCGCAGUGUCUCCUUCAGUGUUUCCUCACGGAUUUGCCUAACAAAAGGGUCCAGUUCUUCCAUAUUCCCUAAUAGGAAGUCAGGACUCUGCGGGUUAUCCAUGUGAGAAUAAGCCAUUAGAUCCACAGCAGUCAAGCGGACAUGUUUACGGGUUGGGACGAAAACAAUAGCCGGCUUCUUGUUCUUGGCGUGCUGGACUAUGGCAGUAUAGGUUGGCUUGGUCAUAGCCUGCAUCCUGGCUUCAAAACUGGAUAUAUCCACUCCCUGAAUGUGGAUCUCUAGAGGAACAGGACGGACACCAGGAGGGAAAUUGAAAAGGCCGUGGGAACUGGCCCCAAUCCACUCCCCGAGAUCCUUCGCAUUUGCAAGGGAAGUGGAUAGCGCAACAAUCCUGAUCUUGUUAUUGACCUGACUUGAAAUAUAUCUCAUUCUGGAGACUAUGACCUCCAAAACCGGACCACCUCGACCUCCAAUUAGAUGGAGUUCAUCGACGAUGAAGAGACUAACCUGUUGAACGAAUUUUCUCUGUUUCCACCUGCGAGAAAGAGCAUCCCAUUUCUCAGGAGUAGUUAUGAUUAUCUGACCUUUCUCAAGCAGCUUAAGAUCCAAUGCUGUCUCCCCAGUUAGCUCAACAACCCGUAAACCAAGACCCUUCCCAAACUUCUUCUCCCAGAUACGAAACUGCUCCUUGGCAAUAGCCUCAAGUGGCGCAAUAUAAACAACACGCAUUGUAGCAGGUCCUUCUUGAUGAUUCCUUAAAAUAGCAAACUCCGCACAAAUAGUUUUCCCACUUCCCGUUGGAGCAGCAACCAACACAUUGUCGUUUGUGUUAUACAAAACAGUAAAGACCUGUGUCUGCACUGGAUUGAAAUGCUUGAAAUCCUGAUAGAGUCUCUCGUAAUUUGGAUUCCUUAGCGCCGUCACUGGGAGGGGCUGCAAGUCCAGUAGUUCCGUCGGAGGUGGAUACUUUUCUGGAAGAAUCAGAUGCCUGAAAGAUACAGGCAACACAGUCUGCGAGCCAAGCCACUUGUCUGAAACCACACGGACAAAAUACUGAGGUGGCAGUGGUUCAAAGAUAGGCACAGUGAAGCUCAAAGUGUGAUCCUCAUGUAUAUACUGCUUCUUCAAAAGAAAAUACUCAUGAUGAAGGAUCUUUUCACCAUCAUUGUCUUCCACAAUUAUCCAAAACGGCUCAACAUAUUUAUGAAUUUUGUCGUCCCACAGGAAAUCAGGUGUAACUGUAAGCUCUACCUUCAAAACAGUACGAGUUAUAGGCUGAACAUGUGCAGAAAGAGUCAAUUUUGGGAACUGGUGGAUGAACUUGUGAAGCGGCCUGCCCAUCUUAGGAUUACGAAUAAGCUCUCCUAGCUCCUGUGCGGAUAAAUCAUAGUACCUCUCCCACACCAAAUCCUUCUUCUCCAACCUCAUCAAAAUUUCAUUGGGAAUUCCAUGAAACUGACGGAGGGGUGUCUGGACACUCCACAUCCUCUUCCCAACCAUUUUAGAUAAGUUCAGAGCCUUCUCUGCCAGUUGAGCCCAUCCCCUCUUCAAUACAAUUUCAUAAAGAGCUCGCACAAGACGUCCAGCACUCUAAACAUGAUAGAAAGAAAAGAGAUAUAAGUACCAAAAAAUAGAUACAGCAAACAUAUCAAUGUAACAAGAAGAGACAAGAGAAGAAAGUAUAGAACAAACCUGAGUAAUGUAAACCAUGUCAGAUGUCAAAGAAAGACCCUCAAGCUUUAGCUGCGAAAUAUAUGCCUGCAGCAGUACAUUUAUCUUUGCACUGGGCUCCUCCAAAGUUUCCUUGAUCGGAAUCGGAACACGAUCCAAGAGUUUCGCCAGUUCCAUCUUCUCAUCUUGCCGAACAGUCACAUACUUGAACUCCUCACUCAGUGAGAACAGACGAUAGAGAUCUAUAUCACCCAUUGUAGGCUUCAAAUGCUCAUUGUAUGUAGCUAUUGUCCCAUGGGUUAUGUAAUAGUAGCUAGCUAUCCGUCCCAAAUCUGUAACUUGGAAGUAUCCACUUUUCCUGUCAUACUUAACCAAGUUGUUUUUGUCCAAGAUAGUAGCAGCCGAAUGUAUCUGCAAAAACAACAUAUUCAAGAAAGCAUUAGACACAGCUCGCCAUUAAGAAUAACUUAUAAAAGUAACUUUAUUACAAUGAUAUUAGAUAACCAAAUGCAAAACUAUCAUUCUGAAAUCUCAAAAAGAUAUAUGAAAUACUAAAUUUGUGAUCAGCUUAAGAAAGAGGACAAGGCAAGCACAAGGAUCCACCAGUUCAUCAUGGAAUGCAUGUCAUAGACAGUGAAAAAGCUAAUGAUGCUACGAACAAUAUUUACAGGAAUUAAUAUCAAAUAAUAAACGCAAUUUUCAGAGUACUAGAAAACGAGAUCACGAUUAGGAAUAUCAAAUAAAAUAAAAUGCAACUAACAGAGAAAUAACAUUAAAGAAUCAGAUCAAAACAGAAAUUUAUGAUACUAGAUUAGUAAUCAAAGUGAUGAAAACACAAGUGAUCCCAACAGUUAAUCAUGGAUUACACAUAGUCGGCAGUGACAAAAGCUACAGAUGCGAGGAUGAUAUUAUGGGCAAUGAUACUACAUGAAAAACAAACGCUCAGAGCAUUGGAAACUUGUCACUAAGAAUACUACACAAAUAAAAGAAACUUUCGUAGCAGUGACAACAAACACACACAGUUGAUCCCAACAGUUAAUCAUGGACUGCAUAUAGUGGCCGUGUGAAAGUUCCAGAUACUAGGCAUAACAGUUAUGUGCAUUUAACAGUAAAUAAAUGAUAUGACUGUAGAUAGCAAAAACACAAAAUUAUGCAGAUGGAAAAAGCACGUACCAGGUCAGCUCUUCUUUCCUCCAACACUACAUCUUUUGCAAGGGCAUCAGGCGCUAAGCCAUACAAUGUUGGGUUACGAACCAUACGGAUAUAUAAAUACGUAUAACCAAGCCAAUGGCAAGCCUCUCUAGCAUUCUGAACGGUUCCAAGCACAAUUUCAGCAUUAAGCUGAUCAGCAAGUUUAGAAAUAAACUGGCUUUCAAUAGGUAGUUGCUCAUUCAUCAAAGAAAGAUAAUAUUGCAGCUCGCUGUAGCCAGUGAUAAUUAUACCCUCCCCAUGUUGAUCAUACUGAGGCCUUCCAGCACGACCAAGCAUCUGCAUAACAUCUAGAGGACUCAGUUCCAUCCACGCCCCUUUUUCAGGAUUAUACACUUGGGUUCCUUUUAUAAUAACUGUAUGUGCAGGCAGAUUCACACCCCAUGCGAGAGUUGCAGUGGAAACCAGGACUUGCACAUGCCCCUGAGCAAAAAGAUCCUCAACAAUCUCACGAUCACUCCUUGUUAACCCAGCAUGAUGAAUUGCAAAACCGUAAGGCAGAAUCUCUUUCAGGUCACUAUUCUUAACAAUCUCAACCUGACUCUGAAGAACUUCACGACUUACACUAUCUUCCUUCAAGAAUCUGCUGACGGUAUCAUUCGACAUUGCGGUGUCCCGUAUUGCUCUUGCAGUUUUUGCUGUUUCCUUUCUCGAAUGAACAAAAAUAAGGACCUGGUGCUUUCCAGCACCAGCCAAUACUUUCUGAUAACAUAGAUCAUUCAUCAACUGGAACCUCUGCAACGGUUUUUUCACACUGAUUCCAAUAUACUGCUGAUGGAGAGGCACGGGUCUGUAGCUGCGGUCAAAUUUAAAAAGACCUUUCUUAAGAUCAACCCGCAAAAAUAAGGCCACGUCUUCAUAAUUUGGCAGUGUAGCAGAUAAACCCACCAGACGAAUAUUCUCUUUUGUGGUUUCAAUUUGCCUAAGGGUCCUAGCGACAAUGCUUUCAAGCACAGGCCCUCGAUUAUCAUGAAGGAGAUGAAUUUCAUCGAUAAUAAGAAGUCUCACAAGCUGGGUAUAAGUUCGAUCUCCAGACUUUCUAGUGAUGAUAUCCCAUUUCUCUGGUGUUGUAACAAUUAUCUGAGUUUCUUCAAUUUCUCUCCCAGUUAGGGACUGAUCCCCACUAAGUUCUCUCACAGUAACUCCAUAAUCCUUCAGACGAUUAGACAAAUUACCUACAACUUCAGCAACAAGGGCUUUCAUGGGUGCAACAUAAACAAUUUUGUAAUCUCCAUGGUUAUAAGUUCCAUCUGUAUUCCUAUUCAUUUCAAGUUGCUGCAGUAUCGUAAGCAUAGCAACAUUGGUCUUCCCAGCACCAGUUGGAGCACAAAGAAGAAUGUUUUCUGCCUUAAAAAGUGCAGUUUCAUACACUUUGCUCUGAACUCUGUUUAACUGUUGCAUUCCCUUAAAAGCCGGUUGAGCCCAAUCAGGCAUUUCUGUAAUCUUCACAAGCUUCUCAUUGAUAUCCACCUUUUUAGAAACCCAUGGCACAUGAACUUCAUCAUAUCCCUUGCCAUGACUUCUGUACGAGCCAGGGGGGAGGUCACACUUCUUAUUCGCCAUCAGGAGACCACCUUGGUCAAAAGCCAAGCUCUCCAGGUCCAGCAUCUGACGCUGACCCUUCACCCAACCACUCUCUAAAUCUCUAUCAGCAACAUCUCUCCUGCCUCUGCCUCCAUCAUCACCAGUUUCGUCCUUCAAACGCCGGGCUUCUUCGUUAAUACUUUUUUGCAGAUUCUCCUCCCUCUCUUUUGCUGUUGCUCUUGUUGCAUGCAACUGCUCCACAAUUGCUGUCAACUCUGGGCCCAACCCCCUCAUCUCCUCCUCAAUCCGAUUCCUUUCUUCCUGAUCUUCGGCCCUAGCCAAACGAGUGCACCACACAAUUUUAAGACGGUUCUGCAGCAGAAAUUUAACAAGGCUGAACUUUUCAUACUGAAGGUGCACAAGCAGCUUGUUCUCAACAUCCCUGUCAUCCCCUUCAGCAAGUGUCUUUAGCAGCUCUUCUGCGAGUACCUGGCAUUGUUGUGGAUCAAUCUGCUGUUCAUAUGCUUGAGAUAUUUUUCUCUGGAGCCAAUAUGCAUCAAUGUCUUGAACAUUAAGAUUUGUGCCCUCAUUAACAUCUCCUGCAUCCUCGUCAUUUAUCCCUGCACCAACCUGCAUACCUCCAGUUCUGGUAGGCUCUUCAUCCUCCUCCUCAUCUUCCUCUUGAACCAUAUCAGGAUCACUCUCCUCAUCAUCUUCUUCAUUCUCCUCAAAUUCAACAGCCACACCCAAAUCAUCAUCAAGUCCUUCAUCCUCAUUAGCUUUACCACCACCAGAAUCACCACCCUCCUGAAAGUCUGUGAUCAACUUUCCAAUGGAAACAAGCUGAUCAAACUCUUGACUCCCAAUACGGUUCAGCAACUUCUCAAUCUCCAUCUUUUUCUCAGGGUUUCUAAAUGUUUCGUUCUUGAGAACCGCCAAAAUCUCAUCAGCCGCACCACUAACAAUAUUCAGAGGUUGCCCACCCAACUGCUGCUGAAUAAGACUAAGCAUGGCCUCAUAAGCAGCCCUCGUCUCCUUGGUCUUGGGCUGAUAAACCGCAUCAUCAGUAUCAGUAAGAACGCUUUCUUCCCUAAGACGACGCCUCUUACUCUGCCGAACAUUAACAGUAUCAUCUACAGCAUCACGUUCCUUCUUCUUUGACUUUUUAAGCUUAUCCUCCAACUCCUGAGGCCUUCCCUUAGCAACACGGUCACCAAAAGACCUUGGAUCGAUUUUCCCCCAGAGAGUUUCCGGCUCUCCUGUAGGCUCGUGUGUAUCCCGAGGACGAUUAUCAGUGGUUAACACCAGACUUGAGUUAGCUCUGUACUCAUACUGCUUGAACCUGGCAUGAGCUUCCGCACCGCCUCCCAAGUUCGCCAUUACCAAAUCCGAAAACCUAAAAAUCAAACCAAACAAAGAGACAGAUACAAAAUGUCAAACUUCGAAUCGAAGAAACAACCCCAAAAGGAAAACAAAAGUGAGACGAAGAAACUCCCAAGAGCGCAGAUGAUAAACCCUAAUAGAACCAACCAAAUCGAGUAAACAAAGAGAACGGAAACUUACGGAAACAGCAACGAAGUCUCUUCUUAGCUCGAGACUCGCUGCAGCAAAUGAAUCAAGUAGCAGAAACCCUAAUGGGGAGAUGAUUAAGAGUUCUCACUUCUCACCUCCUCUACCUCCUAAGAAUCGAUGAAUCGAUCUAAGAAUAGGUUGAACAAAAAAGGAUAAAUAUGUAUAAGGAGUGUUCCUCGGAGUGUUUGUAGCUACCGCCUUAAGGUGACAAGCAUUAACGACGCCGUUUCAGACUAUGGAUCCGAUAACUAGACCGACCCAUCCAUAAUUUUAUUAUUGGGUUGGGCCUUUACAUACUCCUCAAAUAAGCCCAACGCAAUAAAACAAUGGUCCGGGAACUUCAUGCUUCUUUUUUUUUGUCUGGUUAAUCUGAGAAUGAAUGCAAGUGUUUUUUUCAUAUUUUUUGUUUCUCUCUCCACAGACACUUCACUAUAAAUAAUUAAAAUUGUCAAACCACUAUUUAUUAAAAAUACCUCACAUUAAAAUUCGCUGACAAAUAUAAUGUGUGUGUAAUAAUGAAAAAAAAAAAAGAGGAAUGGGAAGACUUUAAAUUGGCGACAAUGACAUUGAUGCAUAUUACUUUGAAUACAAUCUUAGAUUAGUAAAAGAAGAUGCACAUGCAGAUGCAGCAUAUGAGACCAAGGGCUCAUGUGUUAUCAUGUGAGCAAAACUGGGCACGCGCAAAAAAUAUCCAAAACUUAUAUACUUAUUUUAUCUGUUUUUGUCAAAACUCAAAAAAAAAAAAGAGAGAUCUAUUGAUCUCAGAGAUAAUAUAGUUUUCAAACAAGUAACACACACAUCAUUUCUAGUAUAUCGUUGGACGACCAAACAUCAGUGAUGACCACAACAACGACAAACAAGAAAACUUGUUUCAUCCAUUAAAACUCUUUGUGGAAGAUUUAGACUAGAUUUUUUAACUUUCGUUUACUCUUUAUGUUAUAAUGAAAUACAGAGAAUGGUGACAAACAAAUGAAAGAAGUUGAAUAUAGAAGAAAACUCACAUAUGUAAUGUAUAAUGUGCAAGCGUGUGAAAUAUUGAGACGUGGAAAAUCAAAAUGUUCCCAAAAGAAGGCCAUGUGUGGGAAGUCCACGUAACUAUAGCAAUAGCAACAAUUUUUGUAUUCAUGUCUAAUAUUCUAGAAUGCACACUACAACGUACAAGCACUCCCUAUAUACAUUGUGUUUUAUUUAUUUGUUCUAUAUUCAUGUAUUUUAAAAUUGUAUUUUAAGUGGUUACCAAAGUUUAUUAUAUUAAAAACUACAUACACUAAAAACCAUUAAUAUACGUGUUAGUUUUGUCAUAUAUGUAAUAACAAAACAUUUUGGUAAGCAGUCGCAUGUCGCAUCCAUCUAGAUUCUGUUUAAACAUACAUGGGUGUAGUGUAGAGAUAGGUAAAGCACAUAUAGUGCGGGUUUAGAGAGCAUUGAUCAUGUGACAUAGUGUGGCUCCAUUAUCUUUAAAUUUUUUGCCGGAGAUAUUAAUGACAAAAUUGGUGUACUUUAUUCCAAUAUUUUAAUAGUACAAACACUUUUUUAUUCAAUAGAAAAAAGAAACAAAUUGCCUUUUUAUCAAAACAAAAAAAUAUAUAUAUUACAAAAGUGAGGAGUUAAGGUACCACUUUUCAAAUCAUGAAUACGUGAAUUUCCAUUAUAUAAGAAUAAGAUAAGAACCGCUAAAUAAUGGAAUUUUGAUAAGGUCAAAAGAUGUAGCUCAUCGUGACGUUCCACCAACCUAAAGUUUCACCUCAUCUCACCGCUUCACGCAUGACCUAAACUAAAAAUAUUUUACAAAACUCAAGAAAACACUAAAACAACGUGUGUAGAGGUGAUAAAUUUGAGUUACAUAUAAUUACAUAUAUAGAUAGAAAGAGAUAUGGUAUAUAUAUAUACGUUAACUGUUUGUUACUAAAAAUCGAUAAUUUUGAUAGAUAUAGCUAGCUCGUGUUUGCGGCAUCUACAUAUUGACAAAUAUAAGUUUUUUUGAUGUGUUGAUGAUAGCUGUCUCUUAGGCGAAUUGUGUAAACACAAGUUGGUAUAUUGUUUUAAUGAGUUUUUACCAGCUAGCUAGCUACUCACCACUUUAAUUGUCGUCGAACUAUAGAUAGUGCCACCAAACUAAUUUAUAAUGGCGACUAGACUACAACAACAACAACAACAAAAGUCGUAUCCGUGAUCCGUCGUAUAACUAUUAACGUGUUUUUCAAAUUCUAUUUUACGUGUAUAAGUUCUUUUCGUCAACUAUUGAGUAGUGCUGCUAGAUCUAUAUAUAAAUCAAACGGUGGAAAAAACUAAAUAAUUGUUGAUCAUUAUACAUAUAUUUGCAUGCAUUAAAUAAACAUAAAGCUCAUUAGAUAUUAUAAAAUGGUUGUAUUGAAUAUACUGAAUCCUUCCUACUAUACCGAAACCGACAUAUCCAUAAGUUUGAUAUUUUUGUUUGUUCUGUAAACACGUCAUUUUCGUUUAAUAUAGUGUUGAAAAAGAAAAAUUCUCAUCCUCAAUAUGAAAAAUGUAUAGGAUUUUCGUUUGAUGGAUUUUUUUUUUUUAUGAACGUUAAUCUCUUAUGAUCCUUUGGUUAAGUGAUGACAAGUAAGUUUUAGCAAUUAAAAUAGAUAGUUUUUUUAUCAGUUUCAUUUUUUAUUUUAUUUUACCAAAUUUAUAUGAUUAAAAGAAAUUGUAAAGAAAAAUUAGUUUUAUGGUUAUAGAUGUUAAAAAAAAAAAAUGAUUCCUAAUAAGUAAGUUAGGCAAAAUAAUGAUUUAGUAGUAAUAUAGGUGUUGUACAGUAGUUAAGAUAAUGAAAGAAAUGAAAAUAAUAAUUUGAUGGAGAAGGAGAGAAGGUCGUUUUCCGUGCUCAACAGAAAAGCGCAUAUCCGUUUUGGUAAAAACUCCCGGGGACCCAAAAUCCUCCUCACGCGCUUACUUUAUCCCCCACCCGGACCCGACCCGAUUCACACUUGUUAACUAUUUUGCUAAAUAUGUGAUUAGUGUUUUAUAAUUAAUGAUGUUGAUGAUGUGAAAAUUUAGUGUUUCAUCCUAUUACAAGAUGCCACAUGUAUUCUCUGUUUUUUUUUUCCUGCCCAUAAUCACCCAUUGAUACGAAUGUGCAUUUAUCUUUUCUUCUUCACUUUAUGAAAUAGAAAUCAUUGCAUUAUCCCAUUUGUACAAAAUGAAAAUAAAGAAAACUUUUGUUCUUGAUUAAUUUGAUAGAUACUAAUUCAACUAAAUUAAAUAGUAGUACUAAUUAUGAAUAAUGAUGAUAUUCAUAAACAGAUCUUGAAGUUAACAAUGUUUUGUUCGCAGCACUUAUACAGUAUAUUUUUGGAUAAUUACGCUAUCUGUAUAUCUAUUGGUAAUUGUAUUCAUUAAAAAUUUACCCCAAUUAAAAUGAUUCUAUCUCUAUAAUCUAUAUACACGAAAGGCAUUGGUUUGUUAAUCAAAGGAAAUAAAAUAAAAAAUAAAAUUAAAUCUGAAUAAGGAAGCCCUCUGUUCAACAAAGAGGCUUCUUCUCUCUCGUUCCUUAAUUCCUUCUUCUCUCUUAAGCCAGCUGUUUUCUUCUUCUUCUUCUUCUUCUUCUACUCUCUUCUCUUUGCUCGCUUCUUAAUUCCUCAUUACCAUCCUCCGUUUAUCGCCGGCAUUGUCUUUUGUUACCGAUCUGACUAUCUCUGCUUUCGAAUUUUCCGGCGACAAAGCCUGAUCUCCAGGUUAGUUUUAAAUCCUUUUUUUUUUAAUUGUUUUCCCGGGACUUUUUUUUUUUCUCUGAUCUCCGUCCAUGUAUGUCGGUUUCGUUUUUUAUUUUAUUUUGGGUCCUUGAAUUCUUUUUUUUUUGUUAGAUCUGGCUGCAAUUUCGUUUGAUCUGAUCUAUUCCUUACUCGUUUGAUUAGCUUUUCGUUCGUGGUUCCGUCGGUGGAAGCUUUGAAAAAUGCCGGUGGAGGUUGAGAGAGAGCAAGGUGAGGUGUCGGUGAAGGUCGAUUUCGAUAAUGCGACUGAGAUUAAACCCGAGGUUGUUGUUCCGACGACUGCCAAAGAGGACGUCGUGAAUGGGAUCAGCCAUGCCGGUAACAAUGGCAACGGGAACGACACUGAUGCUUCUUACGUUUUCAUUACGGAGAAUGAUACCGUAGCAGAUGAUUCUGAUUCCGUUAAGCCUGUUGACGUCAAUGUGGAGAAAGAUCUUAAGGAAGGACAGAGUGUGAAUUCUGGGGAAGUGAAGGUAGAGGCUGCAACUAGUGCCGAUGAUGUUGUUUUGGGAGUUUCUCAAGGUAGUCAACCCCUGGAAAAUUCUCAACGAGAAAAGGCAGCUGAUGGACCAGAGGAGGUCGUUGGGAUCCCAAAUUCAGAAAUUGAGGAUUCUCUUGAAAAAAGUGUCGAGGAGAAGCAUCCUGAUAAUGGGCAUCUGGAAAGUGAGCAUGAGGCUAAAUUGGAAUCUACAGAGGAAGCGGAGCAACUUCAAGAUUCUGAAGUUGGACCCAGGGAUCUGACAAAGAAUAACGCUGAGGAAAAGCCUGAUGGUAAAUUUGAAUCUGAUAGUAAAACAGAUGUGGAGGGACAUCAAGGGGGCAGUAUUGAAACGCAAGAAAAGCCUGAUCUUGAUGUUGAUGUUUCUGAAGAUCUGAAAGAUAACGACGAUUUAGCAGAGCACCUUGUUGACUCAGAUCAGGGAAAGGUGUCUAAGUUGGUGAGCGCUAAGGUUUCUCCAACUGACCCCAACGAUGGAGACAUGGGUUUAGGACAAGAUACGCUAGCAGAUCCAGCUGAUACCAUCAAUGGAUCUGAAUCUGUGGAUGAUCGAAGUGGAUCAGAAUCCGUAGCAAUUUUAAAACCUGUUUCUGUUGAAAAUGGUCAUCCUCCAAUAGAAUCAGAGUCGGAGGAAAUUGGUGAUGUUCAAUUUACUUCAGAGGCGGAGAAAGUCAAUGCUUCUGAAGUUGAUGUCUUGCCAGACUCUGGAUCCGUGGACGUUGCUGCAUCAGAGGUAAGUAGUGAUGUCCCGGCUGAGACUCAAACUAUUACUGCUGCAAGCUUGAAUUCCAACAUUACUGGUAUAGAUAGUGUAGUUGAAAAUGGUAAUAGCAAAUCGGAAUCUGAAGCAGAAAUUGGAGCUGUUGAUGGUGUCUCCGUGUCUGAUGGGAAUAUGAACACUCAUCCAGAAUCUCGAGAUGCAAGCAAUCCUACUUGUGAUCAAGAUGGAAAACAACAGAUAGCAUCUGAAGUUAAGGAACUUCUUGACGCCCCUGCUUCAGAAGAAAGAAGUGAUGCUGUUAUUGUUGCCAAAGAGAAUGUUUCAGAAGCUGCUAUUUCUGAUGGCUUAUCUUGUGCCAACCAGCAGGCACCAGAACGGGAUGAGAUAUCUGGGCUUGUUGAAAAUAUCCCAUCCCAUCCGCUGCAUGAGAAUGCGCAUUCUGGGAAUGACUCAAGUGUAAAUGUAAGCGAUGACAGCAAAAGUCAAGGUUUAUCAGAGAAUCAUGAGGUUGACACAAACCAGAAGAUCCAAGAUGAUCGUAGUGCUCAGUUGGAUGAAGAGACCAAAGUGAAUGUAAAACAUGCUCCAAACGAGAAAGUUCAAGAAAACAACAGUGAGAGUGACUUGGAUGUUGGUGCUGGUGAUUGUCUAAACGCUGCUGAAGAAGUGACAGAAUCACCUACGGAGGAUCUUUCUGGGAAUGCAUCCCAUGAGAGUGCUGAGACUCUCUCUACAAACAUCAACGAACCAUUGAGCUUAUUGGAAUCCAAAACUGCUGUCUCUGACUUGGCAGAAAGCUCAGCAGAAGGAGUGGCUGACGAAACGGGCGCUGUUGCCACGGAAUCUGAAGCUGCCCCGUCAGUUAAAGAAUGCACUGAACCACAAAUUGCUCCACCCACUAUUGAAGUUGGUGAAAUAAAUAGAGAAGUCAAUUUUUGUUCAGAAGUGAAUGUGACGAAGACCACUCCUGUUGAUGUGUGUGAGGAUCCACCUAAAGAAGUUUCUGAGGUGAAAGAAUUGGACAUCAAAGAAAAAUCUUCGAUAAAUACAGAUGAAGAAGUCGCUAAUGCCUCAGUUGCAUCUGAAACCAAAACCUGUGCACAGGACGUUGAAUCUAAAGUGGUUACAUCUAUUGCAGAAGCUAAAGACUCUGUGGACAGCCAACCUGCUGAAAACAAAGAUGGUAAUAAGUUAAUUGAAAAUGAAGCUAGGCUAUGUACUUCUCUGGUUGAGGAUGAGAAAACUGGAGUUGACGGUUUAUCUAAAUUGUUGUGUUCAGGAAAUGCUGUUGAUAGAAUAGAUGAUAAAGUUGCCUCGACCUGUGAAGGCUCUGCGAGUGAUGCCUCUGAAGGGCACACUGUAGCGGUAGAGAUAGAGAAAAGACCGUUUUACUUUCUGCCUAGAGUUCCAAGAUAUGAUGACGAAAAGUUAGCUGAGCAACUCAAGCACGCUGAAGCGCAGGUUGAUCAGAAAACAAAGAGUCGGGAUGCUCUUAGAGCGGAUAUCCAAAAGAUACGCGUAAGAGACACUUUUAAGAUUUUCAUAAGUAAAAUCAACUUGCUCUAAGUUUAACUUUGACAUAUUUUAAAAUUUGUUAUUUAUAGGCAAUAUGUAAAGACUAUGAUAUCAGUUACAAGGCGGCCAUGGCAGAAGAGAGAUCUGCAAGAAAAGCAAUGCACUCAAAACGGCAGGAAAUUGAUGCUCUUCAGUCUGUGAUUAGCCGGGUUAAGAGUGCUGCAUCUGUUGAUGAUAUUGAUUCUAGGGUGAGAUUCCCCAGCGAUCACAUUUCCAGCUAAAUCUUGUUCAACUUCUUAGCUUCUUUAACCUGAUUGUGCUAAUCUAUCUGAUUUCUCUGCCUCCAAUCAGGUGUAUAAUAUGGAACAUAUGAUGCAACACUCAACUUUAUCUCUGACUGAAGAAAAAGGAUUCAUGCGUGAAAUAAAACAAUUGAAGCAACUCCGUGAGCAGAUAUCUUCGAGUAUGGGUACCAAGGAUGAAGUUAAGCAAGCAUUGGAUGAGAAAGAGAAAACAGAAGAGCGUUUGAAGGUACCCUACAGUCAGCAAUCAUAUUUAUGUCAUAUCUGCAUUUAGUUGAUACCUGUUACCUCUUGACAUUGAUUAAACCUAUUUUGUCAGUACAAGAGCCUUUAGUUCCUCUAUUUACGUAAUAGGUGAUGUAGUUAUUUAAUCCUUUCUUUGUGGAUAUCAUUUACCUAGUUCAAAUAUGCCAUUUCUGGUGAUAACAGGUAUUGAGGAAGGAACUAGACGGGCUUAGAAACGAUCUCUCAAAAGUCGAAGCAAUCACAAAAGCUGCUAAAAAAAAGUGUGAUGAGGAAUGGGAAGCACAGAGCAAACUGCAAGAACAAUUCAGAGCUGCUGAUGCUGUUCGCCAGGAAGCAUUUGUUCACCUACAGGAUUUGAAGAAACAACAACGAGAAAAGGUACCCAAGAGCAUCUGAAAGCAGGCAUAAAUUUACAAAUGCUUGCAUCUGUGUCUUUGGGAUUAAUCCUUCACUUUUACUAUUUUCGUAUUGCAGAACAAAUAUUUUUUCAAGUACAGAGAUAACUCAAGGGCAGCAAGUGAAAUGGCUUUGAAGAAAGAUAGAGCAGCCCUGCAAAGCCUUUGUUCUGACCAGGUAUAGGCAGAUGCCAAAUUUCUAUAAUGGUUUUUAAUCCCUGUAUGUCCUUUGUACUCAUUACAAUCUUUCAAUAGGUGGAGAAUUUCAUGAAUAUGUGGAACAAUAAUGAGGAGUUCCGCAAAUACUAUGUAAGAUGCAACACGAGGUCUACCUUUAGGAGACUAGGAACCCUAGAUGGACGAUCUCUUGGCCCUGAUGAGGAACCACCUCGGAUCACUUAUGCUAAAAGAACGGACAAACUUAGAACGUCUAGUGACAGAGCAGAGAAACAUGAGGCAGUUCCACCAGUUCCAGCACAACAAGAGAAAGUCAUUAAAUAUGAAGGUUCAAAAGUUGAAAACAACAGUAAUGCUGUUGCUAAAGCCAGUGAGAACAAGAGUCAGGCCACUAAAUCUAAAAAGGCCGUCAAACCGGACCAGCCUCCACCAAGUGUCACGAAAUUGGAUUCUGGAAAAGAGGAGAUCGAAAAACCAGCAACAAAGGAAGAAGAAGAGCCACCUAAGUUAAGCGUAGAGGAAGAGGAGUUAAUUAAGAAAGAAGAGGAGAAGAGAAAACAAAAGGAAGCUGCAAAGAUGAAGGAGCAGCAUCGGUUGGAGGAAAUAGCAAAAGCGAAAGAGGCAAUGGAGAGGAAGAAGAAGAGAGAAGAAAAGGCGAAAGCAAGAGCUGUUCUUAAGGCUCAGAAAGAAGCGGAAGAAAGGGAGAAGGUAACUUUUUCCUUUUAACAAAUAUAAAGCAUAUUUUAAUUAUGUCUCUCUCGCAAAUGUGUUUUGAUCUAAUGAAAACUCUGUAUUGUGUGUAGGAACGAGAAAAGAAGCUAAGGAAGAAGGAGAGAAGAAAGGGGAUAUUUGCAUCAGAAGAGACAGCAACAGAAAACCCGAUUCCGACAUCAGAAACUGUAGUAGAAACCCCAAGGGAGAUAGAAAUUCCAAAGAAACAAGCGGUGGAAGAGAGUCAACAAAUCAAGAAAGCUCAUAAAGCAUCAUCACAGUUUCUCAAACAAAACAAGUCAAAAUCGGUUCCUCUGCCUUUAAGGAACCGAGGAAACAAGAGAAAACUGCGGCAAUGGAUGUGGAUUGGACUCAUAGUUGUGGUCAUCCUCGCGUUGUUCCUUCUCGGUAACGCUAAUCUCUCCUUCUCUCGUGCAAAUCUCUGGUUUACAUAAGAAAAGAAAGGAAAAAAAAAAGAAAAAGAAGUUGCACACUCUUUUACACACUUUGCCUUGUGCUUUUUAUAGUAUGCUUUUUUUGGCUCAUAUAAAUUAGUUUGGAUUGUGUUUGGUUUUUUUUUUUCUUUUUGUUAUCAUUUAAGUGGAAGCUUUGAUUCAUUGAUUUCACGCGAACGACAGACAUAGGUUGGUUUUGCUUGCUCUGGGUAUAUGUCUAAGAAACACCGAUUCCAGUUUUUUUAUAUUUUUUUUCCAAUACACCAUAAUAUAUUAUAUAAACAGUGACGUCUUCUUUUAUUUUUUAUUUAUAUGUUGAAAAAUAUAAGUUUGGAAUCAAAAAAAUAUAAGAGAAGAGGAUGUAGAAGUUAAAAUCAACAAUGGAGAAAGAGUCUCAUGUUUCUCUGCUCUGUCACUUGAAGUUCUAAAUCUUGGUCGUUCUAGUCAUAUAAGUGAUCCGGGGUGGUUGAUCAGUGACGAGACCCGAGAGACCGUUCAUCUAGAACGCCAUAGCCAAUUACCCAAUUGAUACGAUCGGGUUCUAAUAUCUUAUAGCUUAUUAAAGAUGAUUAUGACACCAAUACCCUAACUUCCUUCUUUCUAACCUCAUGCGUUUCGUAUUAUAUUUUUUGUUUUUUUCUUUGUAAAUCUGACGUAGACUCUCUCAGUUUUCACCGACAAUAUUAAUAUGGAGUUACGAAAUGUAUAAAAUAAAUUAUCCUAACGUGUAGACUCAACAACAACAAAAGAUAAGUCAGGUUCGUUAUAUAAACAGUAGGUACUUAGCUAGUUUCGUAAUAUGAAAAUCUAGAUUAGAAAAAAUAAACAAAAUAGUAGUUGCGUUCAAACUCAGCCGAAUCUUUUUUACAUUCACAUGACACGUGCCAUAAUAAUAUAGCUGCCGUAUUACUCUCUCUUUUUUUUUCUUUUUUUUUUUCUGAAUUUUGCUUCGUUCUCAUUGACAUGAAAAAAAAAACCAAAAAUAGUACUAUUGACUUUUUAUUUUGUCAACUAAAAACUUAGAAAUAUGUAUGAAAUAAUAAAGUUAUAAAGUUUGAAACAUAUAAUUUCCCCCCUAAACAAGAUAAUCGUGGGAAGUGGGAAUGGGACCCCGUGAUAUACAGAACGAAGAAAAGCUACUUUUAUAGAUUCAAAUUUCUAAUUAAGCAUAAUAAAGGUUACUCCAUACUCACCAUUGCAUUUCAAGUUUCAAAUGCUUUUGAAGAAUUAUCUCCUCAAAUCUUGAAAAUGAAUGGUUUACUAUUCCAUGUCAAACCUUUCUAAGUUCUGAUUUAUAUAUUUUUCUGUCUUAAAUUAUAUAAGUUGUCAGAUCCUAGGUUUCACAUCACAGAACAGUCAGUCGAUUGAAACAAAGUGGUUAUGAUAAUGAAAAAUUAUUGUACUUGUAUACAUAUUCAUGACUCAUGACCACGUCCAAUGAACCUUUUAUUGCACUCAAAAUUCAAAGUUCAAACAAAAAAUGGUUAGAUCUGUACUGUACGAAUUGAGUUUUUACUCAUUCAAUUUCUUCUUAUGACGUACAUAUGCAUUAUUGUUGGAGAUGCUUAUUAAAACGUACGGUGCUGUCUUUGAUUGGUUUUUAAGUUUUACUCAAUAAAAUUUAAACAUAAUCACGGGGUGAGAAAAGAAAAAAGAAACGAUAUAUAGUUUCAACGUUUCAUUUAUACUAUACAUUUUGAUUCAAACGAUAUACUUCAUAUUUAUAUGAUUCAAAAGUUAUAGAUGAGUUUACAUAUACUAUGAUCUUAAACGCUACAGUUUGUUUUUUUUGUUAUUUUCGUGAAUUAUGUUCACACAAGCAGCUGUCGCUGACCACAAAGUUGACGUUGUUAAAUAUUAUAUUAUGAUGGAUUCUUCAAAAAAAUGUUAAAACUGAGGGUUUUUUUAAAAAAAAAAAUAUAUUGCGAGUACAAAAAAUUAUCAACAAAAUCUUAGUUACUUUUGUAAUACAACCUAGCUUUUCUAGUCAUAUUUAUAAGAAAUCUUGGCAUAUUGAUAAACACUAGUUUUAUAUAUUCCAAACUCCAUAAACACAUGAAAGAAGAUUCGAGAUCAAUAGCAUAUAUAUACGUGUAAAUGCACUCACAAUUUGCAAAUUAUUUCCUUAUCUCACAAAUAUAUUACAAUUUUCCAAUCAUUGUAAAUGAACCUUUAGCAUAGAACUAGAGAAUAUAUGAAGAUGUGACAUAUAUAUACAUAUAAACUGGUUUAUAUUUCAUAUGAACAAGUAGAAAAUAAACAAAAACCCGGCGGUGUUGGUGGUAAGAAGCAUGUUGCAUGAGGAUGUUGAGGGAUUAGGCUCAAUACAUUGCACGUUUGAUCUGUGAUUGGAGUUUGGACCACCAUGUGACAUUUGACUCUCUCUCUUUUCAUUUUUUUUUUCCUUUUUCUCUUCUUCAUCAUGGUUUACUCCAUUUGGUUGCUCGACUUCGGUUAACGUUAUGAUUUAUAGUUCGAGCAUAAUUCGAUCGGUUAGAAGAAAAGAAACAACUUAUAGGGUUGCAACAUUGUUAGGAUACAAUCUAAUACUAUAUAUAUGGUGGCUACAUAUGGACUAAUCCAACAAUUUAUGAUAGGAUUUUUUAGUUAACAAUAAGAUUAGUUUGUUGUUUAAUCGGUUUAAGUUAGUUAGCUUCCCAUAAUUUGGUUUCAUUUUGAAUGGUUUAGUUUCUAUAUAUACUUAGAUUAAAGUUCAAUCCUACGCAUUUGAUGAGAUAUACUAAUGCACAACGUACAGAUCUGACGACAAUAGUAAUCUUUAUAAAAAGAUUUGCCGAAAUGAUCAGUAAUAAAAUACACUGAUCAAAUCCAAAAUAGAAUACGCGUAGAGUCGUAGAGAUAUGUACAUAUAAAAGGGGUGUAUAUGGUAAACACUAAACAACAAAACACUUGAUUCCAGAAAAAUGUUGGGAAGAGAGUUUAGUUGUGUCGGGGUGACAUAACUUUAUAAAUAAAAUCGUCUCAGUUCUAUUAUUACUUUAUACAUCAAAUUAAUAAUAAUGCCACAUUUUUGAAAUUAUUAAGCAUGCAUGAUAAGCCGAAUGUUGUAACCAAAUUAAUAACAACUUCAUAGUAUUAUAACGAAGCAGCUAGCAAACAAAACUACAACCUUUGUUUAAUCAGGCUAUAGGAGAGUGCAUUAUUUUUAUUUAAACACAAUAAAACAUUCACAAGGCAUAUGCGAGCUUUAUAUUAUAAUGAAUGAAUAUGCUUCUUUGGGCAUUAUCAAAACCUGUCAUGUUCCGUUAGUGUAGCAUCCAUCGACAAAAAAAAGGUCUAUCAAAUUGGUCCAUCAUUUUUAUUUUAUUUUUAAAAGGGUUUUAAAUAUUAUUAACAGUCCAUAAUUGUCCUUAAUUUGAUUUCCAUAAUCUUGUCUAACCAAUACUUCCAAAAUCCAACUAAAAGUUAUAAUGUACAUUGAUUGAAUAAAUACAUGGAUUGUAUAGUCUUUGCAAUACCAAAAAAUAAAUAAGUAAUUAAGAAAAUAAAAUAAAAAGUAUAGAAAUGGGGUGAGAGGUGUAGUAGUACUUGUACUUAAAGUUAGAGAAAGCAUCAUAGUACAGUCAAGAAUGGAGACACGUUAGAUAUUGGUUAGCAAGAGUAGUAAUUAAUGUUUAAUUGGUUAGUGUGAAUUAGUGAGAGAUUAUGGUCCAAUCCAUUGCAUUCGACCUUUCCGUACCAAACUCACAGCUAUAUAUUUCCCUUUCACCUUUUUCCUCCAUUGUAUAUAUCUUUAAUAUAAUCAUGUGUCUAUAUAUAACCAUCAAAAAGUUAACGUUCAGCUGACAAAAUGAUGACAUUCAGCUUACAGAAUGAAUCCCAAAUUUCUUAGUAUUUCACGAUAAAUGCAAAAAAAAAAAAAAUGAUAAUAAUGAUAAAGGGUGGAAUAUUAUGUUCUGAUAAUAAAAAUUAAUAUUAUCUUAAAGUGAAAAUUAUAUAAACGUUGUAUUUGUAUAAAAUAAUAUAAUACUAUCACACUAUUCUAAUCUUCUUACAAAAUACUCUAAUUAUUUUUAACAAUUCAUUCUCUUCAUUUUUGUUCAUAUAUUUCAUUCGUAUACUAUCGAUAACAAUCUUUAACUUUCUUGAUUGAUUUAUUCUUCAUUUUUCCAUUUCAUUAUUUAGUGUCAUGUAUAUUAUUUUUAUAAGAAGUCAGCAACUGAAACUAUUGGCAUAUAUAACAUAAUAGUAGAUUGACAUUAGAAUUAGUAAAGGAAUGUAAGAAUGGAUGUAUGACCGAAUAAAAAGUUGACACGAGGUGAUUAAAACGAGACACGGUUUAACAACGAUAGAUUAUAAUAAUGCUAAAACCAUCAUAAACUAGGGAAUUAAUAACAAACGUCGUUUUAUAUAUGGAACAACAAGAGAAGAAGGAACCAGCCACUUGCACGCUUGUAGGGACGAGUCAUCAAAAAACCGUACGUGUGUGAUGACUGAUGACUUAUGAGGUGUGGCCUCUCUCUCUCUCUCUAAUCUCUCUAAUCUCUCUUUCUCUCUUGUCUUGUCCAAUCUCUUGUUGUUUGUACUACAAUGGUCUAGAGGAGAGGACAUGAGAGGCUACUUUCGUAAUAUUCUGAAAACGUAUGGGUCAGUUUAAUCUUUUCGACAUGGUUUUGGGUGGGAUUGUUUUUAUCCUCUUUACCUUACGUGAUCACGACGACUUCUCUCCCUAACGCGGUGUCGAUAGAUACAAGCUUCAUCAUAUAGCAUAAAGCGUUCUGACGUACUUCUUACCAUGUAUAUUAGGUUCAUAGCUAAUAACCAUUAUCAUAUAUUGAAGUUUUGCGAGAUGAAUCAUUCAACUACGUACAAAAGAAGAGAAGCUAUGAAAUAUAAAAGAAAUGAAUAAGUUUUCUUAGCGAAGGUCUUGUACAUCUUAGCUAUCAGUCCUAUAAAUGAUGAGACAAUUAGUUAGGCAAACACUUGUAAGUAGCUCCACGUCUCAAAAAGAAAAGUCGACGAUCGCUUCAUUAUCACUAACCACUCGAGGCAUGUUACAUGUUUUAUAGCUAAUAUAUAUAUGUAGUACAAGCAAUUAUAUAUAUAUAUAUUAAUAAUUAUGGUACGAGCUAGAGCUAUAAUAAAAUAGUUGGUUCGUAGGACCGACACUAAAAGAUGGUUUUCCUAAACAACAGUUAUAAUGAUUUCGACUAUUUAAAUUAAACUUUUAGGUUUAUUGUUCUCUAGCAAACAACUUUUGAUCCUUGCGACAGAAAUUGGCAUACGUUCAUUGAUUCAAGUAACCCAUCUUUGUUUUCUUGAAAACAUUACACUAAUAUUAACAAGAAAACAAGUUUCUCUUAACCAAGUUUUCUAUAGACAUAGAUAUAUGUCACAGUUUUGAAAUCUACGUACGCAUACUUUAAAAUUCAACUAGACAAAACAAUUGAUAUAUAAUCUCAAACAAUCUGAUAUGACUAUAAUCAUAAUUUAUCAUGCCACAUUAAUUUUUUUUUUUUUUUUAAUCUUAAACAAGUAUGUUUGACUAAAUAGAAGUAUUUUCAAGUCAAAAAGUGUGAAACCGAAGUGGAUCCGUUUAUUAAGGGUAAGAAAUAAAGAAAUUAAAGAAGAAGAAGAAAAAACAGUGUUUGAGAUUUUUAACUGAAUCAAAUGGAUAAAAAGAAGAAAAUGGAAAUGUCUUGGAUCCUUCAACUACCAUAUCUCUCUCUCUCUCUCUCUCUCUCUCUCUCUCUCUCUCUCUC
rnacentral:lncRNA from 1 species